GGCUUUUUAGCUCCCCUGCUUAUAAGCACAGGAGGACUAUGCGUUUGGUUAGCUGACUUAUGCUCAGCUUAUUCGAAAAGCCACUGCGGCUUCUCUCGAAAAGGAGAAGCUGCCUGACCCCAGCUUUCAGAAGCCAGAAGCCAGCAGCUACUGUAGCGGUACUUACUGUAGCUAAAUGAAUGUUUCAAAAUGACAGAUUCUAUCCUCCCUUGGGAGAGGCAAUUACGGAUUGCCAUCAAGCCUUCGAGAUGAGAUCAGAGGCCGCACAGCAUUUUCAUCUCUAUCCCGUCUCCACUCUCCCUCUGACACCGCCGGGCUCUCAUCACAGACGCCGCCUCACUCUCCCUCUGACGCCGCCUCCCUCUCCCUCUGACGCCGCCUCAGCCUCUCAUCACGAAAACCCCAAGCACAGAGCAAUCGAGCCAAACACCAUCACAUCAUGACCUGAACCCACAUCCUCCCCCAAUUUCAGAUCAGGAAGCCAGCUUUUCUUCAUCCUCUCUUUACUAUAGAACGCAUCCUGGUUUCCCAGCACAGGAAGCUAGCAAGCAGGUAGCAGAAAAAGAGAUCAGAUCAGAAAAGUGGUGCAGGUCUCAUAUUAUAGCUAGUAAAGGCUUGCAAUAAAUUGAGGUUUUGAGCCCUACAAGGACAGCAAAUUAAAGUGGACCUUCCUCUAUAUUGACAUCCAUGUUUGUUUUGGUUUGCUGCCAAUAUCAGCGGAUAAUGAGACUUGCAAAAAGUGAAGCAGGAGGAGAUGUGUUGCUGUGUACUGGUUAAUGGGAAGGGUCUGCUCUUGAUGAAUGCGCGUAAUAACGUGAACAUUUGAUGUGAACUAGAAACUAUGAUUUAUAAUAAUAUAGUCACCAU